rnacentral:rRNA from 1 species
UAGAGUUUGAUCCUGGCUCAGAACGAACGCUGGCGGCAGGCUUAACACAUGCAAGUCGAGCGCCCCGCAAGGGGAGCGGCAGACGGGUGAGUAACACGUGGGAAUCUACCCAUCUCUACGGAACAACCCAGGGAAACUUGGACUAAUACCGUAUACGCCCUACGGGGGAAAGAUUUAUCGGAGAUGGAUGAGCCCGCGUUGGAUUAGCUAGUUGGUGGGGUAAAGGCCUACCAAGGCGACGAUCCAUAGCUGGUCUGAGAGGAUGAUCAGCCACACUGGGACUGAGACACGGCCCAGACUCCUACGGGAGGCAGCAGUGGGGAAUCUUGGACAAUGGGCGCAAGCCUGAUCCAGCCAUGCCGCGUGAGUGAUGAAGGCCCUAGGGUUGUAAAGCUCUUUCGCAGGUGAAGAUAAUGACGGUAACCUGAGAAGAAGCCCUGGCUAACUUCGUGCCAGCAGCCGCGGUAAUACGAAGGGGGCUAGCGUUGUUCGGAAUUACUGGGCGUAAAG